UUUUAGCCCUGAUUGAGGCAGUUUGUUGGAGCUCUUAAAAACUGUAUCUCGACUGCGCUCGAUAGGACAGUUUUUAAAGCGACUGCCGAAAGCAGGAUUAGCU
rnacentral:sRNA from 1 species